rnacentral:lncRNA from 1 species
CUCGGCCCCUUAGGUCAAAGGGAGGUGCUCCCUUGAGCCAACUGAUAACCCUGUUGGACCCUAAUGCAAAGGGCUGGGCUCACUGAUGGAGGCCUGGCGGCCAGUGUAGGCGGGGCCUGUUUCAGCACAUACAGCUCAGCUGGGGUCCAGGACAGGUAUGAAUAGCUAUGUGGAUGGAGGGCAGGUCUGUGCCAUGGAGAUGGUAGGAGGCACUGGGCCCAGAGAGGAAGGCAUGGUCCCCACGGCAAGGCUGAUCCUGUGGGCUCUGAGUAAAGGUAGCACCUAGAUUGAGCCUUCGGAGAAGGCGAUGGCACCCCACUCCGGUACUCUUGCCUGGAAAAUCCCAUGGACGGAGGAGCCCGGUAGGCUGCAGUCCGUGGGGUCGCUCAGAGUCGGACACGACUGAGCGACUUCACUUUCAUUUUUCACUUUCAUGCAUUGGAGAAGGAAAUGGCAACCCACUCCAGUAUUCUUGCCUGGAGAAUCCCAGGGACGGGGGAGCCUGGUGGGCUGCUGUCUAUGGGGUUGCAUAGAGUCGGACAUGACUGAAGCGACUUAGCAGCAGUAGCAGCAGAUUGAGCCUUAGAGAAGAGGAUCAUGUGGAGAGGGACGGGGGCAACAGCCAGCUCCAGGAGGACCAAGCUGUAGCCACGAGAUGCCAGAAGAGUCGGGAAGGGAGUAGCGGGAGGUGAGGCUGAGGAACCCUGGACUCGCCCCUCUGCUCAGGCUGGAGGACACGAUCCUGCUCCCACCACAGUCAUUUGCCAUAGGAUAUAGUCGGAGCAUGUGGUUGAUACAUCCAGGACAGCCAGAACAGUGGUCUUGUGGGGGCAUUCUUGCCCCUUUGGGCAACAUUGGGCAAAAUGGAGAUACUUGAUUUCAACUGGAGUGGGAGAGCGUGGAGACUAGGGACGUUGCUCAACACCCUACAACGCACAGGAUCGCUCCCCACGGCAGAAUGAUUGACCCAAAUGUCAACAGAGCUGAGGUUGAGAGAGCCCAGGACAGAGUGAUAGUUACAGGAACCCCAUUACUGGGAGCGAAACAGGAACCUUCAUCAUAUCACUAUUUUGACCCCACAGUUGGCAAACGUGUGACCUCCUUUUAUUUGGUCUUGAGUUCCUUUUUUAAAAAUCUCAUUGCACACAUCCUUUAUAUAACCUGCUUCAAAUUAUUUUUUGAGAAAAAUGUUUAAAAAACCAAAAAACCUUUUCUUUUGGGGAUGAUGAAAAUGUGAAAUUCGAAAAUGUUGUGUAGUGGUUACACAUUGUAAAUACACUGAAGCCCCUUGACUUAUGCCCUUAAAAUGAAUGCACCUAAUAGAAUGUAAAUUACGAAUCAUUACAACUUUUAAAAAACCUUGAGGUUAUUGGGGGUGGUGGGAGCAGAGAGACGGGACACACUAUUGAUUAUCCAAUGACUUCUAAUUUUCUGACUUAAGACAUUCACAGACUCAGGAGGAUCUUCGUAGAGGCAAUGAAGGGCAGUGCGGAAGCUGUUAGGGAUCCCAGCUUGACUGUUCCCUGGCUGACGCAGGUUCGGUGGAAAUGAUGGCAACUGCCAUGCGGUGGAUCCAUAUCCCAGCCCCUGCAAGGGCUGCUCUACCUGUGCGACGGCCAGCCCCGCAGCUGGGUUUGGCUACCCGGCCCCAAGGCUGAUUAGUCCGGAGACACACGUGACUUCAGCGGGCCAAUCAGCUGUGUCCUCCCCGAUACCACCCCUCCCUGUUGGGGAGUGCGAACUUGGGUUCCGAGGACACCGGUCCGUCUUUGUAAGGCACCUCCGGAUUUCUGCUGUUCACAUCCAGAGCGGUUUUGAUCACCAGUGGACCCCAGGAGCUUUCAGUGUCUCAUUCAGUCUGUGCAGGUGGGCCGGGCAAUGCUGGGGCAUGUCAGGACUCACAGUCAGGAUGCUCGGCCUAGACCAAGCCAGCUUCCCUGGCUCAUUUGCGGAACAGGAGUGACACCCGACUCAGCCACUUCAUUGGGAGAGGCAAGCGACUCCACACUGUUGGUGAUAUAGAUCUCCAGAAACGUCUGUUGUCCAUGGAGUUUAACCAGUGUUUUGUACCGAUGAGAACUGUGGGUUAGGAUGAAGAAUCCUAUUCUGUCUUUCGUCUCUCUUAAGUUUACUCUUGUGAAUUAAAAAAAGAAAAAGCUCUCUAUAAAAAUAGUUCUGGUAAGGGAACUAGAAAA